UUUUUUUGUGGAGGGUUUGAUUCUGGCUCAGGAUGAACGCUGGCGGCGUGCUUAACACAUGCAAGUCGAACGGGAUCCGGGCAGC
rnacentral:rRNA from 1 species